UUCGGGUUGUAAAGUACUUUCAGCAGUGAGGAAGGUGGUGCAGUUAAUAGCUGUAUCAUUUGACGUUAGCUGCAGAAGAAGCACCGGCUAACUCCGUGCCAGCAGCCGCGGUAAUACGGAGGGUGCGAGCGUUAAUCGGAAUUACUGGGCGUAAAGCGCAUGCAGGUGGUUUGUUAAGUCAGAUGUGAAAGCCCGGGGCUCAACCUCGGAAUUGCAUUUGAAACUGGCAGACUAGAGUACUGUAGAGGGGGUAGAAUUUCAGGUGUAGCGGUGAAAAUGCGUAGAGAUCUGAAGGAAUACCAGUGGCGAAGGCGGCCCCCUGGACAAAGACUGACGCUCAGAUGCGAAAGCGUGGGGAGCAAACAGGAUUAGAUACCCUGGUAG
rnacentral:rRNA from 1 species